rnacentral:rRNA from 1 species
AGAGAGAGACAUGCGCGCAUAUCAAUAAGCGGAGGAAAAGAAACUAACAAGGAUUCCCCUAGUAACGGCGAGUGAAGCGGGAAGAGCUCAAAUUUGAAAUCUUAAAGGGUUUCCCUUUACGAAUUGUAGUUUAAAGAAGUGUUUUCUGUUGAGGUUUUGGUAAAAGUUCUUUGGAAUAGGACAUCAUAGAGGGCUGAGAAUCCCGUAUUUGACCUUUACUUUCAACUUUGUGAUACACUUUCAAAGAGUCGGAUUGUUUGGGAAUGCAGUCCAAAAUGGGUGGUAAAUUUCAUCUAAAGCUAAAUAUUGGCGAGAGACCGAUAGCGAACAAGUACCGUGAGGGAAAGAUGAAAAGAACUUUGAAAAGAGAGUUAAACAGUACGUGAAAUUGUCAAAAGGGAAGCGUUUGACACCAGUGUUGUUUUUCUGAAAAUCAAUUAAAGAACUGUUUAUGCUAAGCUGUUUAGACUUUAUCAGCUAACUGUUUAGUUUUGAGCCUUUCUUUAAUGCACUUGUCAGUUAACAAGUCAACAUCAAUUUCUUUUGCUGUAAAAAAGCUUGAGGAAGGUGGCUUGAGAUUCGUCUUAAGUGUUUAUAGCCUCUUGCCUAUGCAGUCGGAGAGAUUGAGGUCUGCAGCGUAGAUCCUUCGGGGCUAAAUGCAUUUGUGCUAAGUUAUAGCAUUUUAUAGACAACUUGUCGACUAUGAUUUGUCUUGUAGCUUACUCGCUUAUGUUAUUUUACCUACGCUUAGGAUGUUGACGCAUGAGAUAUACGC